GACGAACGCUGGCGGCGUGCUUAACACAUGCAAGUCGAACGAUGAAGGAGAGCUUGCUCUCCGGAUUAGUGGCGAACGGGUGAGUAACACGUGACUAACCUGCCCCUUUCUCUGGGAUAACGCUCCGAAAGGAGUGCUAAUACCGGAUACGAACUCUGAACACAUGUUCGGAGUUGGAAAGUUUUUCGGAAAGGGAUGGAGUCGCGGCCUAUCAGCUUGUUGGUGAGGUAACGGCUCACCAAGGCGACGACGGGUAGCCGGCCUGAGAGGGCGAGCGGCCACACUGGGACUGAGACACGGCCCAGACUCCUACGGGAGGCAGCAGUGGGGAAUAUUGCACAAUGGGCGAAAGCCUGAUGCAGCGACGCCGCGUGAGGGAUGAAGGUCUUCGGAUUGUAAACCUCUUUCAGUAGGGACGAAGCGAAAGUGACGGUACCUAAAGAAGAAGCACUGGCUAACUACGUGCCAGCCGCCGCAGUAA
rnacentral:rRNA from 1 species